CCUCAUCAUUUAGUUCCCGACUUCGAAAAGCCACCGGAUGACCUUCUUAUACCAACACACCCCAACAACUUCGUCAGAUGCAUCAAUAUGCACUUCAAAGGUAACUCAAAAUUAGUCAACUUCAAUAUACACUCCAAAGCAAUGGCUUCCUUCAAUGUUUGAAAUGCUGCAUCACAUCUUUCGGACCAUUCCCAUUUGACAUCUUUUCCCAA
rnacentral:lncRNA from 1 species